ACCGGGCAUCCGAGGUCACGUGCUCAGACUUAUCUCCUCCAUGCUCUUCCACCAUUCUGCUCCCUCUCCUCUUCCACUGUCUCACCCUCCUGCAUCUAGGCCGCGGCCACUCCUGCGCAGUGCCUUGCCUCGGAGCCAACAGCGGUGGUGUACAGACAGCAGCGGCGCGCUGCGUCGACCUGGAGCCAGCGGCACGUGACAGGGCCGCGGCCACUCCUGUGCAACGCGUUGCCCCGGAGUCAGCGAUGGCGCACAACCGACGACGCAGCUCCUCGCUCAGGCCCGCAGUGCCGCUCCCGCUUCUGUGCUCGGCGCACAGCUAGCCAGCGGCGGCGCUCAGCGUGCUUGUCAUCUGCUCUUGCUCUUACUACAUCCAGAGGCCCCUCUCCUGCUCCACUCUUCUUGAGAUUUGCAACAUGUGUUAGUGAUAUGUGUUGGGUAGAUGUUGGAUUUGUGAUUCAUCUUGUUUUAAUUUGGUGUACAGAUCUACUUGCUGCAUGCCGCCGGUAUGUUCUCCACUGCGUCAACACAAAAGAUCUACAUAUAUGUUAAAGAGGCACGAUGGUUUGAGAGCAACUUGGAGUAGCAUGGGAGCUCAUAUGCAACUUUCCUUUCUAGUUAGCUUAUUCCUUUUGUAUGCAAUGGUGAAGGAUCUUUUACUACCUUUGUGUUAAUUGUUGACUAGAUCAAGUCCUGUUUGUUUGAUUUAAUAGUUUUUUAAUUAAGUUGAUUGUAAUAACAGUAUAGUCUAUUGGAGUAUUUAUGAAUAUUUCUGCUCAGUAAA